rnacentral:rRNA from 1 species
CUAUACAUGCAGUCGAGCGAAUGGAUUAGGAGCUUGCUCUUAUGAAUUAGCGGCGGACGGGUGAGUAACACGUGUGUAACCUGCCCAUUUACUGGGAUAACUCCCGGAAACCGGGGCUAAAACCGGAGAACAUUUUGAACCGCACGGUUCGAAAUUGAAAGGCGGCUUCCGCUGUCACUUAUGGAUGGACCCCCGUCGCACUAUCUCUUUGGUGAGGUAACGGCUCACCAAGGCGACAAUACGUAUCCCACCUGAGAGGGUGAUCGGCCACACUGGGACUGAGACACGGCCCCCACACCCACAGGAGGCGCCACUAUGGAAUCUUCCCCAAUGGACAAAAGUCUGACAGAGCACCGCCCCGUGAGUGAUGAAAGCUUUCGGGUCGUAAAACUCUGUUGUUACGGAAAAAAAAGUGCUAGUUGAAUAAUCUGGCACCUUGACGGUACCUAACCAAAAAGCCCCGGCUAACUACCUGCCCCCCCCCCGGGGGAAAAUAAA